GAUGAACGCUGGCGGCGUGCCUAAUACAUGCCAGUCGAGCGAACAGACGAGGAGCUUGCUCCUCUGACGUUAGCGGCGGACGGGUGAGUAACACGUGGAUAACCUACCUAUAAGACUGGGAUAACUUCGGGAAACCGGAGCUAAUACCGGAUAAUAUAUUGAACCGCAUGGUUCAAUAGUGAAAGACGGUUUUGCUGUCACUUAUAGAUGGAUCCGCGCCGCAUUAGCUAGUUGGUAAGGUAACGGCUUACCAAGGCAACGAUGCGUAGCCGACCUGAGAGGGUGAUCGGCCACACUGGAACUGAGACACGGUCCAGACUCCUACGGGAGGCAGCAGUAGGGAAUCUUCCGCAAUGGGCGAAAGCCUGACGGAGAAACGCCGCGUGAGUGAUGAAGGUCUUCGGAUCGUAAAACUCUGUUAUUAGGGAAGAACAAAUGUGUAAGUAACUAUGCACGUCUUGACGGUACCUAAUCAGAAAGCCACGGCUAACUACGUG
rnacentral:rRNA from 1 species